rnacentral:tRNA from 1 species
GCGCCUGUAGCUCAGCUGGAUAGAGCAACUCCCUUCUAAGGAGUAGGUCGAGUGUUCGAAUCACUCCAGGCGCACCA